rnacentral:lncRNA from 1 species
GAUCUAAUUGAUGAUUUAUUUACCUUCUGUGUUUUUUACCCGUCUGUUUCAUUUUGUCUUAACUUUGCAUGAAAUUGGAUUUGAGGUUCAGAGUCUUAGCUACUGAUUGGAUCACGACAUAAUGGGGAAGUUGACGUACUUUGUGAUAUGUUUAUUUCUAUUACCUUGCCAUUGAGUUUAGUUCUAUGCUGUUUGAUCUCUAUGUUCUUCCGGUUUUUGGGUUUGCUCGCCUUUUUUUGCAGAACCUAGAUGGGAUUGGCCCUAUCAUAUGAUUACGACUCUCCAUCGAUUCUCUGUCAUCGGAAUUUUGUGACCGUUCAUCAUCACUUCAUUAACCAGCAUACUUGGUGGAGGUGAAAUUCGGUGUGUAUUAUAUUUUCAGGCCUUUUAAGGGUGUUAUCUCAGCUUACCUCUUCUUAAUGGAUUGCCAAGACUCGUUUAAUUGAACACCCUCCAAUUCUUUAGUGAUUUCUGUUGUCGGCAGUUUGUUCGUCGGAGUUUCUGGGUUGUGUUUGUUCGAUAUGGGUUGCUUUACUUAGUUGUGUUUUAUAGUUGUUCUUAUCUUUGGAGAUCUUUCCUGCAUGGACCUGGAACUGGACUUGUGGUGACAUCUUUGGAGAUCUAAUAUUGUGGCUUCGAUCUUUGGAGACCAAUAUUGCUGAAAUCUACCAAUAUUGCUGAAAGAUUCUAAUCUUGGUUAAUAUAUUAUGGGGUUUGGGUUAACAUUUUGAAGGGCUAUGAUUUUGGGAGUUAAGUGUUUCACUUGGAGCUACCCCAUUUAUGCAGCAGAUGAAUCUGUUCUGGUACUGAUGGUGUUGAUACGAAAUAUUGGUCUGAAUUUCUCCCUCUCCCACUCUCUCUCUCCCCAUUUCUCUCUCUCUUCUCUUUCUUUCUCUCUCUUCACCUCUCUAUUCUCUUUCUUUCUUUCUCUUCAUCUCUCUCUCUAGCUCCCUCUCUCUCUGUGGCUGCCCAGAGCCCUCCGCCGUCGCGGCUGCUCCCCACCUUGCGCCACCGCUCCCCUCACCUCCUUGCGCUGCCGCAGUCGCUGCUCCACCACCGCCUUGUGCCGCUGCUCCGCCACGUCCUUGUGCCGGCCGUCGUUGCUCCUCCCACCGCCUUGAACUCCGUAUUAAACCAUCCACUUCACCUUUUUAAGUUACUUUUUUAAUUUAUGAAUGUCCAUCUAUUUUUAAUUUAUUUUUUUAAACUCUGAAUUAUUAUUAUUUCACCUUUUUUAAUUGUUUUUUUUUAUGAAAACCCAAUGAAUUUGAAAUUUUAAAUCGUGAUUCGACANNNNNNNNNNNNNNNNNNNNNNNNNNNNNNNNNNNNNNNNNNNNNNNNNNNNNNNNNNNNNNNNNNNNNNNNNNNNNNNNNNNNNNNNNNNNNNNNNNNNAGAUCAGACUACACAAUUGUCGAAUCACGAUUUGAAAUUUUCGAAUUCAUUUGGUUUUCAUCAAAAAAAAAACAAUUAAAAAAGGUGAAAUAGUAAGAAUUCAGAGCUUAAAAAAUAAAUUAAAAAUGGAUGGACAUUCGUAAAUUAAAAAAAAUAACAAGUGGAUGGUUUAAUACGGAGUUCAAGGCGGUGGGACAACAGCGGCGCAAGGCUGCGGCGGAGCAGCGGCACAAGGCGGUGGUGGAGCGGCGGCAGCGCAAGGAGGUGAGGGGAGCGGUGGCGCAAGGAGGUGGGGGAGCAACCGCGGAGGGUUGUCGGCAGCCACAGAGAGAGAGUUAGAGAGAGAGAUGAAGAGAGAGAAAGAAAGAGAAGAGAGAUAGAGAGAUGAAGAGAGAGAAAGAAAGAGAUGACGAGAGUGGGAGAAAUGACGGCUGGAACAAAAUGUGGGAGGGAGUGAGAGAAAAGGUUAGGGGGUUAGGGUUUUAAAUUGUAACUUAAAGGGCAAAACGGGUAUUUUAAUUUGUCUAGGGGGUCUAUCAAAUUAAGAUUAGAAUUUGGGUUUUUGACUAGGAAAGAAAAAUUCAUAGGACCUAUCCCUAUAUAUUUUCAAAACUAGGGAGGUAUUCUACAUUUCCCCUUUAUAUUAUUGGUAGUGUAAGUUUUAUUAUUAUUGUUAUUACCCGAAAUGGCUAGUUUCAAUCCAAUGCAAUCAGAAGAUAAUUUUAUCAUCAACUGUAUUUUAAAUUUGUCAAAUAUCAACUAAAAUAUUAUUAUUUAAUUAAUAUUAGUAUCAUAGGUUUUAGUUGACGUUCCAGAUGGAUUCUUAAUUUGUCGACUUACUAAGAUAUAAAACAUAAUAUAAUUAUUAUGUUUCGUGCCUUUCUGUUGGUGGUUCUGAUUUGGGUGGUUUUACUGGUCUUACAUUCUAAUUAUCGGGAGCGUCUGUCAUUUGUUUCCUUUCUCUGAUGUACUGUCUAGGACUUCUUUGAAUGAUAAUUGAUCCGACAAGGUAUUUAUGAUGUUUGCUUAAUAUGCAAUUUAAUAUCCCGUGGUUUCGAUUUUGUUCAUGCUUUCCCAUCCUGGUCUGGUUGUUGGCUGGGGUUGGAUUUGUUUUCUGCGCGGUCAUAGGAUUUCUGGAAAAGGAAAGUGUUUCGAGCUUUGAGCAUAUCUCCGUCUUUUCGUAAAAUUUGCGUGUAUGACAAUUUCAUGUUAUGUUUUGACAAGUUCGGUUGCUACAUAUGAUGGUUUGGACUGUGAAGAGUACGAUAGUGAUGCUAAGUUAUAUAUUCUUAUGAAUCCCUCCAAAAUCUAUUCUUAUCGGAAGUUCGGUUUGAGUUUUUAGAGUCUUAUUGGAAGCUACUUGGGUCGGGAUCUAAUUGAUGAUUUAUUUACCUUAUGUGUUUUUUACCCGUCUGUUUCAUUUUAGAGUUUUAUCUUAAAAGCUGCCAACAGAUCGAGACAUAAUGGGGAAGAUAAUAUAAUUAGUGAUAUAUUUAUUUCAUAUUAGUGAUAAAGUUUCCUACAUGGAUGUUGCCUGAUUUUUAAAUCUGAUUUGUCCUUCAAAUUGCAGUUCGAUCUGAGGUUUUUAGAGUCUUAUCGCAAGCUACUUGGGUCUGUUUCAUUUUGUCUUUACUUUGCAUGCAGUCGGAUUUGAAGUUUAGAAUCUUAGCUACUGAUUGGAUCACGACAUAAUGGGGAAGUUGAUGUAUUUUGUGAUUUGUUUAUUAAAUGCAGUUCGAUCUGAGUUUAAAGUCUUGUCCAGGUUCAGGCAAUCUGUUCUUCCUUCUUACUGUUGAUUUUAGUCAUUUGUUUGUCUGAUCACUACGCUUUUUUUCUUGUUAUGGGACUUGCUUGCCUUUUUUGCAGAACCGGUUGUAGUGGUAAAAUAGGCUGAAUUGGAAUGUAUGAUUAUGCAUUAAGACCCUGGCAAUCUGUCUUUGCUGUUGAGA